rnacentral:rRNA from 1 species
GGAAUCUUCCACAAUGGACGAAAGUCUGAUGGAGCAACGCCGCGUGAGUGAAGAAGGGUUUCGGCUCGUAAAGCUCUGUUGUUAAAGAAGAACACGUAUGAGAGUAACUGUUCAUACGUUGACGGUAUUUAACCAGAAAGUCACGGCUAAAUACGUGCCAG